rnacentral:lncRNA from 1 species
AUUAAUUAUAAUAUCUCUCCUGUUAGAUUACUUAAACAUCUGCAUGUUGCAAGUCAUAUCUUAUAUUAAAUAUGUGUUGGAGUUCCUGCUCUGGUGCAGUAGAUUAAGAACCUAACUGCAGUGGCUUGGGUUGCUGCAGAGGUACAGGUUCAAUCCCUGGCCCAGCAUGGUGGGUUAAGGAUCCAGCAUUUCUGCAGCUAUGGUGUAGGUCACAAGUAAGGCUCAUAUUUCACCCCUGUCCUGGGCACUUCCAUAUGUUGUGGGUGUGGCCAUAAAAAAAUAUAUGUGUUGAUUUAUUUGUAUCCAAAAGUGAUGGAAAGAGUGACCCAUUGCCCAUACGUUUCUUUUGACCUAAACAAUUUGAUCCUGACAUCUAAUAUUUUAGAAAUAUAAUAUAGAAGGAAUCUCAGAUAAUUUCAAAAAUAGAAUUAUGCACAUAUACACUCAAACUCCUGAAAAAUGAAAUAGGCUAUUGAUUCAGCCUACAACCCAGAUAUACAGUGCCUUUGAGUUUUGCAUGUCUGGUUCAAAUGUUCACAUUAAAAUAUUAUACCCAGACACACAUGCCCUUUUGGAAUCUUUAGUACUUAACAAUAAUCAAAAACAUAUUAUUUAUAAUAAAAGUUAAAAAAAGAUUCUAAUUAAUUAAUAUGCCAAGUAUUUGUCUAAUUGCAGGAAACCAUAAAAUGUAUAUGUACACUUAAGUGUAGUAUACUUUUUUAUCAAGUAACAUAAUCAAUUGCUAUAAAUAUUCAAAUACUUAUUUAUUCAAAUACUUGCCUGGUCUAUGCUUAUAUUAGUUUCAAAGUUCUUUCAAAUAUAAAUUCCCAUGGGUGUAAAAGGGACUUAAGAAUUUGUAUAUAUAGGGAAAAAGAACAUCUGGCUUUCAAUUCUAUACUUAGAAUUCAUUUAGACCCAUUUUAGAGAGUUUUUAUUUAAGAUGAAAUCCAGCUUUCAUGUUGUAUGAAUGUGUAUGUAUCUCUGUAUGUGAGUGUACGUGUGUGUGUUGUAAAGAAAGAAAAACACAGAUUCUAAUAUGUUUCCUAAGAUAAUGUUUUGUCCACCUGAAAUAGCUAAUUUCAGAUAUGUGAAUUACUUUUUCUUAGUGGAUAUGAUUUUAACAUCCUCUUAAAUUCAUUCCCUCUAAAAGGAAGAAUAAUUUCUUGCUUAAAGAUAAUUUUAAUGUAAGCACAGAUCAUUGUUAUGUAGACCAAAAUUUAAACAGAAGGGUUUUAAAGCAUUUGGAUAUACCUUCUCUCUGGCCUAAAUUUGAAAACUGAUGAAAUUUUAUCUUUUUGUUUAUUUAUUUAUUUAUUUAUUGUCUUUUUGCCUUUCCUAGGGCCGCUUCCCGCGGCAUAUGGAGGUUCCCAGGCUAGGGGUCGAAUCGGAGCUGUAGCCGCCGGCCUACGCCAGAGCCACAGCAACGCAGGAUCCGAGCCUCGUCUGCAACCUACACCACAGCUCACGGCAACGCCAGAUCCUUAAUCCACUGAGCAAGGGCAGGUACCGAACCCGCAACCUCAUGGUUCCUAGUUGGAUUCAUUAACCACUGCGCCACGACGGGAACUCCACUGAUGAAAUUUUAGAUCUCAGUUUUAAUGUAUAUAAACAAAAAGCUCACGUAGCUGUAAAAACUGUACAUCUAAUAUCCUAGGCCAAGAAGUUAAGUAAUUUGAAAUUAAAUUGCCACCUGUUACUAAGCAUUAGUCAACACUAUUAUAGCAUCUGCUACUUCUUCUGAGUUAGGUAUAUAUUUCUUGAUACUAGUAGUCAAUUUAUGAGUACAAAUCUGCAUGCUGCCCAAGAGCAGAGCAUUCAUUUUAUUGACUGCAAUUAGGAGCAUGAUUUUUGACAUCUUAUUCAUUGGGAGAGUGUCAAUUUAAUGUUAAUUGGAAUGAAUGUGAAUGUAUUCACAUCCUUAGUUAAUAAGUUUGCUCAUAGAAGAAAAUCUAACAUGUCUGGUAUGCUUUGAGGGUCAAAGUUAUUCCUUUAAACAAAAGGGGAAAAAAGCCAAAGAAAGUGAGAUGGUAUCUUUCACACUAUUUCUAAUAGGAGUAUUUUGUAGAAAAAAAAUAAUAAAGCUUUCUUUAGAAUUAGUCACAGAGUAUAGUCUGGCAUCUCUCCUUCUUAAUUCUCAGUUUUGUGCCUGUUUUUCUUCUCUUGCACGUGAUUCUUGCCUUUAAUUCACUUGUCUACAGAACUCUCACUCCCAGUAGGCAGUAAGUUUUACACAGUGACUGUGGUCAUUUCUAUCUCACUAGUGCUAAGCAACAUUCAUAGUGAUGGAUACUUAAUCAAUGGUAUCUGAAUGGAUGGAGUCUAGCAUGGCUGACCUCUGAUGUCUUCCUUAUCUGGUUUUGGCCUUUGUUUUGGUAUGAAUUGUGGAAAGAGAAGUGGCUGGCUCUAAAUAGUGCUGUAUAUUUAAAUAGUUCUAGGUGUUUAUACAUUGUAGCAGCUUAGACAAUGAAGGGGAUACAAUAUUAAAACAAAAUAUUCAGGAGUAUUUGUGCAUCUUAAAAAUUUUUAAGAACAUUCAGAUCCCCUUUCUCAGUGACUGAUAAUAUCUAUGAAAACUCUUGCUAGUUAUAAAGUACCAUACUAAUAUAAGAGAUUUUCCAUGAAGCAAAAACCCACUGACUUCUUGAUUCAUUUAGAUUUGUGAUGCUGUGUGUGUGGUAAAAACUCCCUUGCUUAGAAAACAUACACCAUAAGAUACACCAAAAGAUACAACAAAAUUUUCCAAAAUAUUUAGGGGUUCCUCCCUUCCCUCCUUUCUUCCUUCCUUCCCUCCCAAUACUGAAUUUCAAGCAACACAGUAAAUACUACAUAAAAGUAUACAAAAUGUUAAAAUUUACAACACAGUAAUUUUAAAGUUGAAGAAAAGUUUCUUUCCCCUCAAAAGACAAGGAUAAAAUUAUACAGGUAACAAGUCUAACAUGGAGAUUGCUAUGAUGCAGUUUUAUACAACUUUCAGUGGUAGCAUGUGAAAAGGAGCACCUUAGUCUGCAAGAAGGGUCAAGGCUUGCAAAAAAAGUGAAAUGAAUUGGAUUGAGGUUUAAUGGAGGAAGAGAAUUUGUCAGAUUGAGAAGCAGGAAAGGAUAUUUAAGACAAAGGGAAAAGCAUGUAUAAGAAUGUGGAGUAAACGUAGUGUAUUUAGGAAAUUAAAUAAGUUCAUAAACCCAAAGAUAUGGUAGGGCCAAAAUAUAAUAGACUCGUAUCAUGAAGAGCACACUAGGAAGGUAUAGGCCAUUUCAGGAAGUUUGGAAGCCAUUGAAUAACUUGAGCAGAGAAUUUGUACAAUCUAAUGUUUACAUUUUAGUUCUUAAUGUUUGCAGAAGACUGUGACACUGUCUUGAUGGAUCAUGAUUUAUCCAAAUGUGUGGGAGUAUAAUCCCAUAGCAGUGAUUCUCAAUCUUGAGCCUCCAUGGAAAUUACUUGAUUAUUAUCAAGACACAGAUUGCUGGGCUCCAGUCUCAGUAGAUCUAAGGUGGGCCAAUAACUUGCAUUUUUAGAAGUUUCCAAGGUGAAGCUUAUGUCCCUGGUCCAGGAACCACACAUUGAGAACCCCUGACUUAGAGCAUUGCUCCUAAAUUGCACGUUAGAAUCACCUGGGGAGAUUUUAAAAUUGUGCUUAUUUACUGCCCUGCUUCUAGACCAAUUAAAGCAUAACUGAAAAAUAUACCAGGGGCAGAUUGUGUUGAGCCAGUGUUCUAAAUGCAGGUAUAAGAUGGUUCUGGUUAUAUCCAAAAUAAGAACCUUUGUAGGGCAUUAGGAAUGGAAAAAAUGGAAAGCAAUCGAGAGAUACUUAGAUAUUUAAUUUGUAAAACUUAAUAAUGAAAUUUGAGUAGGUAAUGAAGAAAGAAAGGUUGAAGAGGAAAAAAUGUCAAUAUUGACCUCUUUCUGACUUGGGCAAAUACAGCUUUAUAUUGUAUUUAUUUGUACUUAUAUCCUUUUAGAAAUUGGGCAGCAUGCUUAUAUGUAUAGGAAGAGAAACAAUUUUCAAAUGUCUGGUCUAUUACUCCAGGUAAUUUUAAAGACAAAAACUAGACCAAAUAUUUAGCCAUUUCCUUUGGGAAAGUUGUAUAGUUACAAAAUGAACUCACAGAAGCACAAAACACAUACAUACUCCAUCACUGUGCAGUGCUCAGCAUGGCAGGGACAGGUGGUGUCAAUUAUAAAUUCUGUCAGAACACUAAGUAAGUUUUGAGUAUAAGACAGACUUUAUAAUAAUAAUAUUUUAUGUUACAAAACAGUUCAUGGCCUGUACUAGAGAGAUAAUGAUACCAUAGUUUGUUUACCCCAGCUAAAUCCAAAACAGGAAAUAGUGUCUUCCAAUAGGGAGAGCAAUUAGAAUAAUCAUUAAUUAGGGUAUCUGCAUUUCUCUGUGAAGAACUGUUCUUUGUUAGAUAAAAUAAAGCUCUCUGCUUUGAUUAUAGUUACCAUCUUGUGAAAAUAUUGAAUGAGUUUAGAUUCCUAAAGGAAAUUAGAAGUUAGGGAAAAUUCACAUUCAGUUAGAAAUCUUUUCCACUGAAAGAUACUGAUUAGUAAAAAUAAAUAUAGGAGAAUUUCAUUCAUUCCAAGAGAUUAUUACAGGUGACAAGUUUCAAACUGACCUUAAUUGACAAAUUGGAAAAUAUUUUUCCCUGCCAUAGACUACUGUCGGUUCCACUGAAAGUACAAGAUCAUGUGUUAUCUGGACUCAGCUUCCUACUCUUGCUUCUUCUCUCACCAAUCUCCUUACCUCCUACUCCUACCCCUUGAGCUAGAGGGUCCUAGGUAGGGCCCGCACACUACUAUACUCACACCUUGUCAAGUCCACAUGUUCCUGAAAUGCCUCUCCCUUUACCCCUCACCACCUUAUUAAAAUCUUUAUUAAAGCUUGAUUUCCUUUUCAUCACAUGAGAACUCUUUUCCUCAACCCCUUCUCCUCACUCCCCUUCACUCCACCAAAGUGAGGUACCAUUUCAAAGUGUUCCCAUGGCAUACCUCUUUAAAAAUGAACAUCUUUCACUACAUUUUGUCAACUUAUUUAUUUCAGUUUAAUAAUUUAAAUUUUUUGAGAGCAGGUAAGUAUGUUUGAUUCAUCACUAUUAUGGUGGUUGUGUUAAUUUAUUGUUAUGCUACCCCAUCCUAUACCUAGAAAUAAGCAUAGGGUUUAGAACAUAAAGGUAUUUAGUUAAUUAAUUUUUCAGUUAAAUAAAGGUAUUUAUUUAUUUAAAAAAAUGAAUGGAUAUCUAAAAGGACAUGAGGAACAGAGUUCAUUUAACACUAUCAUUAUAGUUAAUAAUCUUUUUUCUUCCAGUAUCAAGAAUAUAUAUGUGGGUAUAUAUAUGUAUAUAUGUACACAUAUUUAUAAUACAUAUAUAUAAAUAUAUCUGUCAGUGGGUAUGCAUUUGAGUUUGUGGGUGUUUCCAGUGGGAAAAUUGGAAUGAUCUUAAUUCAAAUAUAAAAUAUUAUAAAUGGAGGAUGAGAAGUAUAUUGUGUAUUCAUUUGCUUUGGCUGCCAAAACAAAGUGCCACAGAGUACUAUGGCAGAUUGGGUGGCUUAACAGAAAUUAAUUUUCUCACAGUUCUGGAGAUGAGACAUCUGAGACCAGAGUGUUGGCAGGGUUGAUUCCUUCGGAGGUUUUCCUUUUUGGUUUGUAGAUGGCUAUCUUCUCCUUCUCAACUAACUUGGUCUUUGUUCUAUCCAUGUAACUGCCCUAAACUUUUCUGAGAAGAACUCUAUCAUUUAAAUUAAAGCCCACCUUAAUGAUGUUACAUUUAACUUUCAUUACCUCUUUAAAGACCUUGUCUUCCAAUAUAGUCACCUUCUGAGGUACCAGGGUUUAGGACUUGAAUAUAUAAGUUGAAAGGACACAGUUCAGCCCACAACAAGAAACCAUGUGAAGAAUCAGUUUUGAAAGCAAAAGUGAUUGUCCUCUGAGUGGAAUGUGGGGAAGAGGAAGAGAAGAUGACAGAUCUUCCCUGAUCUCUUCUCAGUCUUCCUCUGAACCAGUCAAAUCUGUAGAAAAUAGUUUUGUAAUCCCCACUGCUACAAGGAUUCAGUUGCUUGAGAGAUCUUUUUAUUCUCCCCUGAGUUAAUGAGGACUGUCGAAAAUGUUGUAGUGCAAAUGAAUCCUUUGUGCAAUGUACAAUUAGCAAUUUGUAGCCACAAAGCAGCAGAGGGCAAAAAAAAGUGUAGGAGAAUAAAGAGAAGAUGG